GGUCGCUGGCGGCCGCUAACACAUGCAGUCGAACGAAGUAGCAUAUUAGUGGCAGACGGGUGAGUACAUGUAGGUAUCUGCCCUUUGGCCUGGAAUACACGAGGAAACUUGUGCUAAUACCGGAUAAGUCUUUACGGAGAAAGCUUUAUGCACCAUUGGAUGAGCCUGCACUUGAUUAGUUUGUUGGUGGGGUAAUGGCCUACCAAGACUGUGAUCAAUAGCUGAUUUGAGAGGAUGAUCAGCCACAUUGGGACUGAGACACGGCCCAAACUCCUACGGGAGGCAGCAGUGGGGAAUCUUGCACAAUGGAGGAAACUCUGAUGCAGCGAUGCCGCGUGAGUGAAGAAGGCCUUUGGGUUGUAAAGCUCUUUCGUCGGGGAAGAAAAUGACUGUACCCGAAUAAGAAGGUCCGGCUAACUUCGUGCCAGCAGCCGCGGUAAUACGAAGGGACCUAGCGUAGUUCGGAAUUACUGGGCUUAAAGAGUUCGUAGGUGGUUGAAAAAGUUAGUGGUGAAAUCCCAGAGCUUAACUCUGAAACUGCCAUUAAAACUUUUCAGCUAGAGUAUGAUAGAGGAAAGCAGAAUUUCUAGUGUAGAGGUGAAAUUCGUAGAUUUCAGACAGACUACCAAUAGCGAAGGCAG
rnacentral:rRNA from 1 species